UACGAAGGGGGCUAGCGUUGCUCGGAAUUACUGGGCGUAAAGGGCGCGUAGGCGGCAUGGCAAGUCAGGAGUGAAAGGCCUGGGCUCAACCGAGGAACUGCUUUUGAUACUGCCAAGCUAGAGUGCGGAAGGGGCAACUGGAAUUCCCAGUGUAGCGGUGAAAUGCGUAGAUAUUGGGAAGAACACCUGAGGCGAAGGCGGGUUGCUGGGCCGACACUGACGCUGAGGCGCGAAAGCCAGGGGAGCAAACGGG
rnacentral:rRNA from 1 species